AGAAUCUGUCUGGGGUGCUAUUGAUUUAGCUGAGAAAUACCCAUUGAACCUGAUCUAGUUAAUACUAGCGGAGGAAGACAGUUGAAUCAACGG
rfam:Lactobacillus fermentum CECT 5716, complete genome.